UACAGUACACGUUACACUGGCGCCGACAUUUUGAAAAUUUGAGGAAACAAAAACAUUCUCCAACGAGUUCUUCAGCUCGGGGAAUGAGAGAAUAGAUUCACCUUUGUGUCGCUUUUCAGAUCGUAUUUAAUUCCUUUCCGGUACUUUAGUUUCUUUGAACUUCUUUGUUACUAAGCCUAUAUUGAAUUUUUAAAAUUAAGAAAUCCGUGAUUUUACUUGCAGGCAUGACUGAUUAAUGGAAUUAUUUUACUUUUAUAUAGAAUAUGGACGGCACUCCAUUACAGCAUGUGCAUGGUUGGACCUGUUGACAUUUUUAGAAACGCAUCUUGGUCUAUUAUACAGAGUAUUGUUGUACUGCUCCAAAGUGCUUGUUGACAGACUGAAACCACUUGCUUGCGGCUCAUAAGGUUCACUUCUUGAGAGCAGGCAGCUACAAAAUGGAAGGUCAACAAAUCCAGUAUACUUGAAAAGCAAGAAAGAAACACCAGAAAAAAUAAAAAGACAGAAGAACAAGAGAACUUUAAUAAAAAAAAAACUUUUAAGGAUAGGAAUUCAGUAUUUAUUUAGAAACUAAAUAUAUUUUGAGAACAGCAGUGUUUGACUAAGCUCUGUUACUUUAAGAGAUAAUGUAUUAUCACAUUGGUUUUGUUAUUGUUGAGCCCGCUUGCGGAAGCGAAGACAUAGUUGUCCAAAUGUCUAUUCGGUGUAUGUGCGUGCGUGCGUGCGUCUGUCCUGAUUAGUUUGUCCGGACCAUAAUUUGGACAUGCAUGGAGCAAUCUUGUUUAUAUAUGGUAUGAAUGUUAACCUCAGUGAGACGGAGUGUCAUGCGCAAGCCCCAGGUUCCAAUCUCAAAGGUCAAGAUCACACUUACAGGUCAAAGGUCAAAUUCAAAAAUGACUUUGUCCGGAGCAUUUCUUCUUCAUGCAUGGAGGGAUUUUGAUGUAACUUGGCACAAUUGUUCACCAUCAUGAGAUGGAGUGUCAUGCGCAAGAACCAGGUCCCUAGGUCUAAGGUCAAGGUCACACUUAGAGGGCAAAGGAUACAAGAAUGACAACUUUGUCUGGAGCAUUUCUUCUUCACGCAUGGAGGGACUUUGAUGUAACUUGGCACAAAUAUUCGCCACCAUGAGACGGAGUGUCAUGCAGAAGAACCAGGUCUAAGGUCAAGGUCACACUUAGAGGUCAAAAGUCAGAUACAAGAAUGACUUUGUCUGGAGCAUUUCUUUUUGAUGCAUAGAGGGAUUUUGAUGUAACUUGGCACAAUUGUUCAUCAUCAUGUGACGGAGUGUUAUGCAUAAGAUCCUAGAAUUACUUCCCUUUGUUGUUACUAUAAACAGCUUACAUUUGUAACUUGUUUAUUACUGGUCGUAGGGAAAAAUCAAGACCACUUUUCUGUAGUACAAUAUGCAAGUUACAUCCAAUUUUCAGGUGUAUUUUGACCUAUCUCUGCUGGU